GACGUAGGGUGCAAGCGUUGUCCGGAAUUAUUGGGCGUAAAGAGUUCGUAGGCGGUUUGUUAAGUCUGAUGUUAAAGACUGGAGCUCAACUCCAGCAUGGCAUUGGAUACUGGCAGGCUAGAGUGCGGUAGAGGUCUCGGGAAUUCCAGGUGUAGCGGUGAAAUGCGUAGAUAUCUGGAGGAACACCGGUGGCGAAAGCGCGAGACUGGGCCGUAACUGACGCUGAGGAACGAAAGCCAGGGGAGCGAAAGGG
rnacentral:ncRNA from 2 species